rnacentral:rRNA from 1 species
GUAAAGCACUUUCAGUCGUGAGGAAGGUAGUGUAGUUAAUAGCUGCAUUAUUUGUACGUUAGCGACAGAAGAAAGCACCGGCUAACUCCGUGCCAGCAGCCGCGGUAAUACGGAGGGUGCGAGCGUUAAUCGGAAUUACUGGGCGUAAAGCACAUGCAGGUGGUUUGUUAAGUUCAGAUGUGAAAGACCGGGGCGUCAACCUCGGAAUUGCAUUUGAAACUAGGCAGACUAGAGUACUGUAGAGGGGGGUAGGAAUUUCAGGUGUAGCGGUGAAAUAGCGUAGAGAUCUGAAGGAAUACCGGUGGCGAAGGCGGCCCCUCGGACAGAUACUGACACUCAGAUGCGAAAGCGUGGGGAGCAAACAGGAUUAGAUACCCUGGUAG